rnacentral:lncRNA from 1 species
AUGAGCUUCCUGGAAGAUGCAGAGACUCCUUGUGAGACAGGAGCAGGUGAUAGUGCAGUGAUGAGCCACCUGGCUGGUAGGUCCAGCCUCCUAUUGUCAUCUUUCUGCCUCAUCUUCCUUCCUGCUGAGUUCUUCAUUUGGGGUCCAACUACCAGUUUGCUGCUGCUUAAAGAUGAACAACAAAGCAAUGCACACUCCUCGUUAAACAAACCAGACAGCCUUCAGGCAUACAAAGAAGAUAAAAAUUGCCCUUUGUCCCCAGAGCAAGAGUCUCAUCUGUUGCUUAACAGAAUUUUCCUCUCCAAGGUAGCGUCUCAGGCAGUGGUGGCUCCAGUUCCUGCUGGUGGCAUCAGAUCAUUGGCUCAGAACUCAGUAAGUUUUCACAGCUGCCCAGAGUCACGGGGAAAGAAAGAAAAAGAUCCAGAACCUUCCCUUCCAACAUUGGCCUCGGAGCAUCCGUGGACUGAGAUCACCCUCUAAAGAUGGGAACCUACCCAAGAUGCACAGCUGAGCCUAGAGGUUUCUGAUGGGCGGAGCCAAGGCCUCAUAGCAGGAGGGCCUGGCCUGGUGCCUGUGGAAGUCAGGCAGAUGAAUACUUGUCAGCUGGAAACCUAUUCUUUCCCUACAAGACACUUGGAAGUAGCUUUUGCAGUCCCCGUGCUCUUUCUCCCCUCCAGGCCCCUAAGAUUGCUUUGCCUGUAACAUCUUUUCAUUUCUUUUCAACCCAGAAAACCUAUACAUAUCCUUCAAGACCCAGAUGAAUCUUGAUGCUUCUUUGGUGGCAUCCCCGGGCACAAUUAAACACAUCCCUCCUGUGUUUUCAAACGUAUGCAGUUUGUGUUGUGGCACUUUCACUUCUGUGUACCUUUAAUGACUCAUACACGCUUUUAUCAUGGCACCUGGCACGACCUACAACAGCAACAGGCACAGUGGCAACUGACCAUGCCAACAGCCACAGCCUUGGUCGGGAAUGUUGGUAGCUGUUUAGUCACCGAGUGGUAGAUACUCGGUGUAACCUUCCCACCCGGCCCCUCCUGGCUUCUCUAUGAAGUGUUUGCAUUUUACGGAUGAGGAUGCACACCUGGUUCAGAAGUUUACUGUCUCGUUUUCCCUGUGAACCCUCAGAGGAAAAAAAGGAGACCUGGGUAUACCCUGUCUCUGUACUAGACACGGACAGGGUGCCUGAUACCAAGCGAUCACGAUCACCUAAAUGCCGCAAAAGCGUUCCAUAGCACUGAUGUGUGGAGGUUGGUUAAACCAUUUCCCACGUGUUGCUCUAGUUCCGGAUAUUCUAUCUUUCUUGGACUGGAUUAUUUCCUUUGGGUCAGUUCCUGGGAGUGGAGCGACUGGAUCCGAG